UACGAAGGGUGCAGGCGUUAAUCGGAAUUACUGGGCGUAAAGCGUGCGUAGGCGGUUUGUUAAGUCUGUUGUGAAAGCCCUGGGCUCAACCUGGGAAUGGCAAUGGAUACUGGCAAGCUAGAGUCAGGUAGAGGGUGGUGGAAUUCCCGGUGUAGCGGUGAAAUGCGUAGAGAUCGGGAGGAACAUCUGUGGCGAAGGCGGCCACCUGGACCAUGACUGACGCUGAGGCACGAAAGCGUGGGGAGCAAACAGG
rnacentral:rRNA from 1 species